rnacentral:rRNA from 1 species
GACGAACGCUGGCGGCGUGCUUAACACAUGCAAGUCGAACGGAAAGAGAUGAAAGAGCUUGCUCUUUUAUUAAUUUCAGUGGCAAACGGGUGAGUAACACGUAAACAACCUGCCUUAAGGAUGGGGAUAACAGACGGAAACGACUGCUAAUACCGAAUACGUUCUAAGCAUCGCAUGGUGCAUAGAAGAAAGGGUGGCCUCUACAAGAAAGCUAUCGCCUUAAGAGGGGUUUGCGACUGAUUAGGUAGUUGGUGAGGUAACGGCUCACCAAGCCGACGAUCAGUAGCCGGUCUGAGAGGAUGAACGGCCACAUUGGAACUGAGACACGGUCCAAACUCCUACGGGAGGCAGCAGUGGGGAAUAUUGCACAAUGGGGGGAACCCUGAUGCAGCGACGCCGCGUGAGCGAAGAAGGUUUUCGAAUCGUAAAGCUCUGUCCUAUGAGAAGAUAAUGACGGUAUCAUAGGAGGAAGCCCCGGCUAAAUACGUGCCAGCAGCCGCGGUAAUACGUAUGGGGCGAGCGUUGUCCGGAAUUAUUGGGCGUAAAGGGUACGUAGGCGGUUUUUUAAGUCAGGUGUGAAAGCGUGAGGCUUAACCUCAUUAAGCACUUGAAACUGGAAGACUUGAGUGAAGGAGAGGAAAGUGGAAUUCCUAGUGUAGCGGUGAAAUGCGUAGAUAUUAGGAGGAAUACCGGUGGCGAAGGCGACUUUCUGGACUUUUACUGACGCUCAGGUACGAAAGCGUGGGGAGCAAACAGG